rnacentral:snRNA from 1 species
UUACUUGGGAGCACGUAUACUAGAAUUGGAACAGUACAGAGAUAAGCAGCACCUCUCCACAAGGAUGAUGUGCAAAUUCAUAAAGGAUUUCAUGUUUAA